AGCGUCUGUCUCCCGCAGACAUGAAACUACCGGCUCGUGUUUUGCGUGGUCCGACGAGUGACUCUGUUUUCCGUGUAAAAAACUUGCUGAAGUCGACACAACACUGUUUCCCUGGAGGAGAGGAUGAGUGCGUUGGAAAGUAAAGCCGCGGGCCCAGUGUGGACGAGUCGAGGCAGAGAAGACGGGCGCACAAUCCCAAAAUUACGGAAACUGCCCGACUCUUCACACCUCUGAGGCAAAUGGCCGGCGCCACGAAGCGGAGCGAGGCCUGAGCCCCCCCACACAACGAGGCAGUCACUGCACAUUUGGCCGAGACUCUAGCUGCAAGUCCGGAUUUGCAGUGUGGAAAAUGACGCCAUUGUCUCUGCCUGUACUAUGACGUACUAAGACGUACUAUGAGCCAGUAUGAAGGAACUUC